AAUUACUGGAUUUGGCGUUGGACCCGUUUGUGUGUUUUGUGCCGUGUAUGUUUACUUUGUGUGUUCUCGAUAUACCUGAACGCUUUGGGAUAAUAUUCCAUACAAACGCGAUUUCUGUAUUAAUAAACAGACAAACAGAUCCCAAUGGAAGCAAGCGUUUCAGAAUCAAUUCCAACAUGACAGCUUCAGUAGAACUAACUUGUGUCGCAUGGAUUAUCAACGACAAUUUUCAGAAGCGGAUCAAGGAUUUUGGAAAAGGUGCACAUAAUACCAAAGACAUGGCCGAUUGCCCAGUUGACAUGUAAAGUGUCUGAUACAAGGGGGUGUUCACCCUCCCCACCCCCCAACCCAAAAGCACCCUCUGGGUCCGUCAGUUAAUUGAACAGCUUCAUAAGCUUAAAUAACAACGAACCAGGAUGUGGUUAAGCCAUGUUCGAUGUAAUCACUAACUGAUAAUAAUUGUAGCCCUGAUACAUGCAAAAUCACAAGACUUAGAGACCUACAAAGGAAGGUAUACACUUUCAAGCACAUGUACCGUGACAACCGCAGAAUUAUGUUCUACCAGCUUCUGAAACUAUAAGGAUACUCCGUUCUUUACCCCGAACGUGCAUGCAUUUUUUGUAUCUUCUUUGAUCACAAAUAUGACGUAGGUGUCAGUCUGAUAAUGCCUGUGACAUCACCUUUGACACAAAGACACUGUAGGUUUUCCAUAUGGCCGCAAGUACUGAGUCAUGUGAUAUAACGCAGAGAUGCAGAGGAGGCGGCUGAAAGGGUAGUCAAACAACUAGUGCCAUUGAACAGAUGCUAGACAUGUCAUGCAUUAUCAAUUUCGUCCUGUAAUUCAAUAUGAAUAUGCUACUUUGCUCGUGUUAUUCGUCAGAAAGAGAAUAAAAAAAAGCAUAAA